rnacentral:rRNA from 1 species
AGAGUUUGAUCCUGGCUCAGAACGAACGCUGGCGGCGUGCCUAACACAUGCAAGUCGUACGAGAAAUCCUGGGCAACCGGGAAAGUAAAGUGGCGCACGGGUGAGUAACGCGUGGGUAACCUACCCUUGGAUUCGGGAUAACUCCGCGAAAGCGGGGUUAAUACCGAAUGAUAUUCCGAUCUCUAAGGGGAUUGGAAUCAAAGAUGGCCUCUGCAUGCAAGCUAUUGUCUAAGGAUGGGCCCGCGUACCAUUAGCUAGUUGGUAGGGUAAUGGCCUACCAAGGCAACGAUGGUUAGCUGGUCUUAGAGGAUGGCCAGCCACACUGGAACUGAGACACGGUCCAGACUCCUACGGGAGGCAGCAGUGGGGAAUCUUGCGCAAUGGGGGAAACCUUGACGCAGCAACGCCGCGUGGGUGAUGAAGGCCUUCGGGUCGUAAAGCCCUGUCAGGUGGGAAGAAACAUAUCGGUGCUAAUAUCGCCGAUGUUUGACGGUACCGCCGGAGGAAGCACCGGCUAACUCCGUGCCAGCAGCCGCGGUAAUACGGAGGGUGCAAGCGUUGUUCGGAAUUACUGGGCGUAAAGCGCGUGUAGGCGGUCGGGCAAGUCAGAUGUGAAAGCCUUCCGCUUAACGGAAGAAGUGCAUUUGAAACUACCCGGCUGGAGUACGGGAGAGGAGAGUGGAAUUCCCGGUGUAGAGGUGAAAUUCGUAGAUAUCGGGAGGAACACCAGUGGCGAAGGCGGCUCUCUGGUCCGAUACUGACGCUGAGACG